rnacentral:lncRNA from 1 species
GUGCGGGACGCGCCUGGGAACCGACCAGACCGGCGGUCUCUGUGGAAGCCGACGGCGCGGGCGGCAAGAGCGAGACGAUGAGCGUGCGGUUGACCUCGGACUCGCUGUCGAUGGCCAAUAGAUCGCGCGCCACGCUCACGGCUGCAUCCGCCGAGGUCGCGGUGGUGGUGGUCGUUGUGGUGGUGGUCUCUGCGUCUGUCGGUGACGCGGCGCGAUCGAGGGGCGCGUCGGCAACGACAACGUCCUCGCCCGUCAGGUGGCGCAUCAUGGCGUCGAGGAUCAACUCGCGCAGCAGGACGAGUUGUUCGCGCCGGUCGCUGAGCACGAUGACCUUGCGGCGCGCCGGCAGCGGUCGCGGAUUGACCAUGCAGUCGACGACGGCGCGCGCCACGUAAUAGUUGCGCACGGGGUCGGUGGCCAGGCGCGUGAUCAUGAGCGACACGUUGGGCUGGCCGUUGCGCAUGAGGAUCUCCUCCUGGUCGCCCUUGGCGUAGCGCACCAUGCGGCACACGACGCCGUCCCACACGCGGCGCACGUUGGCCACCAUGGGGCCAAAGGUCCAAAAGAGCGCCGGCGUGAGGCCGUCCUUGCGCCGCGGGGUCGCCGUGAGGCCCAGCGUGUAGUAGCAGCGCAGCGUGGAGCCCACCUGCGAAAAGGCCGGCGCCGCCAUGUGGUGCAUCUCGUCGGCCACCCAGAGGCCGAACCGGUCAAACACGCUGGGCUCGUAGCGGCGCGCCAGCAGGGUCUGCACCAUGGCCAGGACAAUGUCGUAUCCCUCGCCCACGUCGAGUCGGUCGCGGUGCACGCGCCCGAUGCGCGCCGUCGGCGCAAAGCGCCGGAUCUCCUCCUCGGUCUUGUCCAUGUGGUCCUCCUGGGCAACGGUAAAGAUGGCCUUGACGCCCGUCAUGCACAUGAUGUAGAUGGCGCACACGGUCUUGCCAAAGCCGCACGGGCACUUGACCGACGCGCCUGGCGUGCGCGUCAUGCGCGCCCUCUCUGCCGCGGUUGCCGCGCGGCCAUCUGCUGCAUGGCCUAUCGCAGCAGACGUCGAACGAGAUCCGGGUGACGCCGCCGCCGCCGCCAUCUUUGCCGUCGUCGUCUGUAGCGAGGGCACCGGACGUACCACCGCACCGGCUGCCUUGGACGCCAGGGCGGCGGCGAGCGAGGCGCGCACGGGCAUGGCCUGGUGCGCAGGACGCUGGCAAAGACGCGCGACAGCCUCUGCCGGAUCGACGCCAAACUGCACCAACACGCGCCGGCACACUUCGGUCUGUUCGGGCGUCAGCGUGCCCGUAAAGGGGACGUGCGUCGCGUCGCCUCGCGUGCGAAGGUCGCCGGCGGGCGGCGGCAUACCCCAUCGGGCGAGACCAUAGUGGCGCGGCACCGUAAAGGUGAGUUGGUCUUCGCGGUAGAGUUGCACCGUCUCGGUGCCCGUGUCGGCGUCGACGUGCUGGGUCGACAGGGCGGCGGCACCGCCCGUGCGGCGGCCGCGUGUGGCCCCGCGGCCUCGGGCGCCACGGCCUCUUGCCCCGGCCGCGCGGUACUGGUUGGGCGGCGGUUCGACCGUGAGCCAGCGCCGGUGGGCGUCAAACUUGGAGUCGGGGAUGCCGGCCUUGGACACAGUAUAGUGGGCGUCUAAAAUGGCCGUGCGCGCCGAUGCGGUGGGCGGCGGCAGCAGGGGUCGCGGCUUGGGCGCCUCGGCGGCUGCCGCCGUCUGCGAGGCCGAUGCCUUUGGCGAGGCUGAGCCCGCUGUCGAUGACGCUCUCGCCGCUGUGGUCUUUGUCGUCGUUGCCAUUGGUUUGGACGCCGAUGGCGGCGAGGUUGUCACGGUCGUGGUCGUGAUCAUCAUUGCUGCGCCGGGACCCGACAGGGAGGCCGAGGGCAUGACGACGGUCGACGCACCCGUUGCGGCUGGACGAAAUAGCAGCCGCGUCUGAACGGCGCCCGUGGCCAGCGUCGGCGGUGUGCGCGUUGUGGCAGACGCUGCCGGGCGCGCCGGCGGCGAGGCGUCUCCCGUGUCCUCGUCGUCGAUGAUAAACUGGACGCGUCGCCGCGUGGCCGGGCGCUGGCCAGUGUGUGCAGCCGGCGCCGGCCUUUUCAGUGGGUUGGGGGUCUGCAUGGAUGGCGGGUGUUGGUGACGCACCGCGAGCGCUCUGGUAAACUUUUUUGUGGCCCCUCUAUGCUCGCCCCCUUUUUUCCUAUUUUUUUCUUCCUGGUGCGGCGGGCGUCGUUGUGCUCUCGGCGAGACAAUAAUAAAAAAAAAAGAGAGAGCACCCGGAAGGCGAAAAACACACGGCAACAUUCGGCCUCGGCCAUCGCAGAGGCGCUGCGGUUCCUGCCGACGGCGCCAAAAGAAAAAAAAGCGCCAUAAAAAAAAGAGUCCCCAG